rnacentral:rRNA from 1 species
AUCCGGGCGAGCGGAAUUCAGGACCGCGAUUCGAUAUUUCCGCCGCCGCGGACGUCGCGACCCGUUCGUCGUCGGUCUUACGGGCCGCGUUUUUCGAGUUCGUCGCGCGGCGCGCACGCGGCGACGACGCGUGUUCCCGGGCCGGCGUACGCGGACGGUAGGUAUUCGACGUCGACGCCGGUCAGCGACGAAUCUUCGGGCCUCUUUCCGACCCGUCUUGAAACACGGACCAAGGAGUCUAACGUGCGCGCGAGUCGCGGGGUACUCGGACUCGUUACGAAUACGAAACCCGAAGGCGUAAUGAAAGUGAGCGGGGAAGACGGUGUUUCCGAGUACACGUGUUUCUCGGCGAGACCGGACACCCGCAUUCCCGGGGCGUCCCGUCCGUCCGUCGACGGUGCGGACGUUUCGCGCGUCGGCCGCCGACGAACUGG